UGGGGAGGCGAGUAAGAAAAAGGUUCCCCUCGGUUUCGGGCGGCGCAGCCACAGUACGCAUGCGCACCAAAGCCAACGCCGUCGCCUGGGAGUUGUGGAGGCCUCUCAGAAGCUGAGAGGAUCCAAAGGUUGGCAAAAGGGCGCUGCUUUCCAUCUCCUCCUCCGGGAAAUGACAUGUUGGUGAACUUUUUCAAAGAUUAUUCCUUUUUAAAACAUUUUAUGGCUACUGUGCCUGGUAAUAAUCAUGGAAAUCAAAUUAGAAGUUUUAGCCUGUACAUGCAUCAAGCAAAAAAAGCCAUGGCCACGGAUCACUUGGCUGGGACAGGAAAAGGAAGCAGUGUAUCUUUUAGAUGAAAAAGAUAUAAAUGAAAUUAACCUGGUUUCGGGAAAAACGAAGAAGAAGAUCCCCCAGUUAUCUCCUUUACUGAAGAAUGUUUGUGUCUUGACUACAUCAAGUAACAGAAUUUGGUUAGCAGGGAUACUUAAAACAGGAGAGCUCUUUCUGUGGCACAAAGACCAAGGCACUCUCAAAACAGUCCCAGCAGCAGAAGAAACUACAAAAUUGGUUGAAGUACCACAAGAAAGUUCUAUAGGAUUGUACCUCUAUGUUUCUGAUGAUGGAAAUAAGGUGCUUCUCACUACUCCAACUGCCUGUGUAUUUCUGUGGGAAAACAUGGAAUGUAAAAGUGCACCAUCUUCAAAUCCUAUCAUGAGGCAGUGGUCACAAAUUAAUCCCAAUGCAUCACUUACGUUACCGUCAAUUGAAGAAAAAGAAACUACAGUAAAUGCUGAUUUUAUACAAAAUGAGAUGCUGGGGGAUACCUGCUGUUGUUCUUUUGCAUUUUACUCUGAGGAAAAUUUGAUGUUUACUUUUUUGGAAAUUAAGUGGCAAGAGAACAGUUUCAAGAGUUCAAACUCUUUUCCAUGUCAGAUACACUGGGCACAACAAACAUGCUCCCUAUCUAGUCUUACACCACCUUGUGAAUCAAUUAAAUCAAGAGGUGCCUUACUUACUGCUUUGUCUCGGGAUGGACUGGUAUUAGCAGUGGCUGUUAAUCAAAAGGAUCCACAGUCGUCUCAGAUUUUGUUUAUAAGCACCAUGAAUUUUCUUACUGCUUCUGGUAGCCUCAAAGGCUGUGGGAGUAAGAAUCGCAAAGUUUCACCCAGGUUUAUAAGGUCUUACUGGAUUGCUGACAUGAGUUGGACUCCAGAUAGUCUUUUUUUGGCUUGCAUGUUGAAACGUGGGUCACUGAUCUUAAUGACUUCCUUGGGUGAAUUGCUGACUUUAGUUACAUAUGGUUGCUCUAUAGAAUUUGGACCAGCAGAAUUUAUUCCUCUUCACCCUCUAAUAACCUACAGAUCACAGGACUCUCUACUUCGAGAUUCAAAUCACUCCCAUGAUUCAUCAGCAUCUGAAAGAGAUCUCAUGAGACAGAGAUUUUCUAUAACAUCACACCCAUGCUUACCCUACCUCGUUGCUUCUGAUGGAUACAUAAUCACAGUUCUAAAGUUUUCGGAUAGUUUUUCACCUUCAACAUAUAUGAGAUCUUUGCUACUUGAUUCUGCUCAGAGACUUGAAAAACUACACUCUUUGAUUUCAUCUAAGGGGAAAAGACUGUCAGUGCAGUCACUAACUUCCUUAAGAGCUAAUUUGUUACACCAUCAUCAAAAUCAAAUUUCUGCCUUCUCUGCUAUUCCAAAAUUUCUUCAAGAGGAGGAGGGAGCAACAGAAGUUCUUGGAGAAGCAACAUGCUNGUAG
rnacentral:lncRNA from 11 species